UUUUUAAUGAGGCUGUGAAACUUUGUGAAAGAUAUCUAAUUGUGUGUGCCAACUACCCUGAGUACUAGAUGCGUUAUGUGGAGUUCAUGAAAAUCAAAGGGAAGAGAAAUUGCAAACUAUUCUCUAGACUAAGCAACAGAAAUUUAUUUGAAGGUUCAGCCCAUUACGUGCAAGCAUAAAUAUAAUAGGUCAUGAAUGAUGAUUAUAAUUGGAUAUAAGUGAGAGGAAUACAUAUCAAGUUAGUUGAGGUUUAGAGAAGAGAUUAAAUUUAAUUUCUCUUUUUCUGUGGUUGCUUUCACUUUUAGUAUUUAUCUGUAAUUAUCUGUAAAUAUGACUA